rnacentral:rRNA from 1 species
CCCUUAAAUGUUCUGGGCCGCACGCGCGCUACACUGACGAUGGCAACGAGUUUUUCCUUCGCCGAAAGGUGUGGGUAAUCUUUUGAAACAUUGUCGUGCUGGGGAUAGAUCAUUGCAAUUUUUGAUCUUGAACGAGGAAUUCCUAGUAAGCGCGAGUCAUCAGCUCGCGUUGAUUACGUCCCUGCCCUUUGUACACACCGCCCGUCGCUACUACCGAUUGAAUGGUUUAGUGAGGACUCCUGAUUGGCGCCGCCGCCCCGGCAACGGAGCAGCGGACUGCCGAAAAGUUGUUCAAACUUGAUCAUUUAGAGGAAGUAAAAGUCGUAACA